rnacentral:rRNA from 1 species
AUUGAACGCUGGCGGCAGGCCUAACACAUGCAAGUCGAACGAGUGGCGGACGGGUGAGUAAUGUCUGGGAAACUGCCUGAUGGAGGGGGAUAACUACUGGAAACGGUAGCUAAUACCGCCUACCAUCUGAUGUGCCCAGAUGGGAUUAGCUAGUAGGUGGGGUAAAGGCUCACCUAGGCGACGAUACCUAGCUGGUCUGAGAGGAUGACCAGCCACACUGGAACUGAGACACGGUCCAGAAUCCUAGGGGAGGCAGCAGUAGGGAAUAUUGAACAAUGGGCGCAAGCCUGAUGCAGGCAUGCCGCGUGUAUGAAGAAGGCCUUCGGGUUGUAAAGUACUUUCAGCGGGGAGGCGGUACCAGCAGAAGAAGCACCGGCUAACUCCGUGCCAGCAGCCGCGGUAAUUC